GGGGCUCGUGCCCGUAGCUAACGCGAUAAGUCCUGCGCCUGGGGAGUACGGUCACAAGGCUGAAACUCAAAGGAAUUGACGGGGGCCCGCACAAGCGGUGGAACAUGUGGUUCAAUUCGACGCAACGCGAAGAACCUUACCUGGGCUUGAAGUGUACUGGACCAUUCCUGGAAACAGGGACUUCCCGCAAGGGACCGGUGUAGAGGUGCUGCAUGGCUGUCGUCAGCUCGUGCCGUGAGGUGUUGGGUUAAGUCCCGCAACGAGCGCAACCCUUACUUGUAGUUGCCUCCCGCAAGGGGGAACUCUACAAGGACUGCUCCGGAUAACGGAGAGGAAGGUGGGGAUGAGGUCAAGUCAGCAUGGCCUUUAUGUCCAGGGCCACACACGUGUUACAAUGCGCGCUACAAAGCGUCGCGAACCCGCGAGGGGGAGCUAAUCGCAAAAAAGCGCGCUCAGUUCGGAUUGCAGUCUGCAACUCGACUGCAUGAAGCCGGAAUCGCUAGUAAUGGCGCAUCAGAACGGCGCCGUGAAUACGUUCACGGGCCUUGUACACACCGCCCGU
rnacentral:rRNA from 1 species